GGAUUAUAUCACUGUUGCUUCACUACAAAUCUACAAUAUUUGUGCAAAUCCAAGAGUUGCAGAUUUAGGUUCAAUUCUAAGUUGGAUUUACAAUGAAAACUGUAUAAAACAUGCACGCCUUGAAAUUUGUAAUGUAACUGCUAAAAUCAGAGAAUACAAAACCAAAUUAUUUUUAUGUUUAAAUAUAAAAUAUCAGUGCGUUACUGUACAACAAACGAAGCAGGCCCAAAAAGUUUAAAAUAAACACACACAAUUUACGCUUCAUUAGUCAAAUGAAAUGAUCCUCACGUUUCCUGAACAUUAUAUAGGUUUUUACUUCUUUAAUAUAUGGUGCUCGAUCACUAAUCCUACAAAAUUCUUAGUAAUGAAUCCACUGCCAUUGCUUCCAACAACCACCAGCCUCCAUGGCCACCACCAAAAACCUCUAACAAUCCCAAAUUCAGCAUAUGUUCAAAAUCAUUUCGUUGGGGAAAUAACACCACUAACCAUCUUCAACAGCAACCAAAUCUCAUCGUAGUCAAAACCAUGCAAAAGGAUUUCAGUGAGGAAAUCUAAUGGCAAUUGCCCAACAAAUCAUCAAGCAGAAGCAAUAACAAAAGCAACAGAAUAGCACCAUCAUUGGAAUUAUCAAAUCUUAGGCCUAUAAAGCUUACAUCGUCAUUUGUCAUAGCAAAAGAAAUAAGAACUAAAGAAAAUGGAUAUUAGAGAAAUGCUUGGACUUUUCGCUUCACAGAGGAUGGUUUCAUGCAAUGGUGUAAAUGGGCCAAGCUAUUUUUUGAGCUACAUAGACUCAGCUCACUAAAUGUUCAACUUUAGUACUCAGCUCACUAAAUGUUCAACUUUAGUUUCGGUUUUAAUCAAGUUUGACUUGAAUAGCUCUUAAAGCAAGUCAAGCUGCUUUUAAUUAUUACUAAUUUUUAUGCACUAAUUAUAUUUUUAUAUGAAAAUUUUAUGAAUAAAUUAUAAGCCACAUUAGCAAUUUGAGAGUUUUGGCACAUGCUAAUUGCAAUUGAAAAAUUUGUGCAUAAGAAAUCUAGUAGACUACGUCCCCUUUUUUCAUAUUUUUUUUUUCUUUCUUUUCCAAUUGAAAAAUUAGUGCAUAAAAAUAAAGUCUUUCCAAAUGUAAAUUAUUCCUCAAUUAAAUCAUUGAUAAAUAAUAAUAUGUACAUUGUGGUAAAGAUAGGUAAAAAGUUGAUCCAGUGCCAUACCUAAGAUGAGUUCAGGUGGUACAGAGAAAGGACUGCUGCGGUUGAAGGUUCAGUCUUUACUUUCAUCAUUAUCAUCAAGCACAGAACACCUUGUUCCAAACCUAUUUAGUGAGAUUGUUUGGUGUUGAAUUGUUGAGAGCAGGAACCCCUCUUGACCUGGUUCUUGGAAUAAUUGCAGGUCUACAACAGAUUAUGGUAAACAACAAUUCGAUUAUAAACAGCAUCAUGCUGAUGCAUGCAAAAAUGGUGUUCUUCCAACACCAUAUAAUCCUUUUCAAUAUAGAAAGAUCAGUCUCAAGUACAAGGGAUGCAUCAUAUAUUUCUGGGACACCACCUUCAGCCUGGAAUUCAGCUCGUUGCUCAACUGUCACUUUUAGGCAGGAAGUAGGCUCAUCUCCUUCCUUAAAACCUCUAAUCUUAACCUUUAGAGUUUGGAUUUCUGACGUGUAGCCAGUGACCAGAGGUACAAUCUUAAAGAAAUUUAGUAAGAAGCGGACAGGUUCACUUCUGAAUUUUAACAUGCACAGUUGACGUUUGCUGGCAAGGGUUUUACCAUAUGGAGACAGGAGGUCUACCCGGACCUGAAACAGCCCAAGAUUUUUGUUAUAUGCAGACUCUGGCAAUGUUAGUAGCACAUUAACUUCCAACUUAUCAUUAGGUUGUACAACCCGUCGCCCCAAACUCUUCUUUACACAGUUUAAAUCACAACCAACACCACCACAUGACAUUAUAGGCGCAAAUGCAACAGGGCUAUUCUCAGUGUAAUCAAAACUCAAUUCUUCCCUUAUCUGCACUGGCUUCUCCAACAAAUUUAUGACCAAAGAGCCACUAACCAUCAUCGAGAAAAUCACUAAUAUACACAAGAUCAUACAAACAUAAAAAGACCAAAACAUCCUCCACGCAAAUCGCACCAGAAGCUUCCGUAUCGAUAUUCGGUCCUUUAACCAGCCGAUUAUCAGUGAACUAAGAUACCAAAUAAUCCGAUUGCAUAAACCAAUCAAUUUUUUCAUUAAAAAACCUCUGCCACGCCUUAUUACUCCAAAUGGAUCAAUAACAAACAUGUAGGAGUUAUAUAAAGCCAAUAUGGGAAACGUAAUAAAUUUAAAAAAUAAACGAACUUCAAACCAAAUUGCCUUAAUCACCAAUCGAGCCAUACACUCGAGCAAAUUUGGAGAGGAGUUGUCCCCGAGUUCGCCCGCCGUGUCCACAGAGUCACCAACCAGGUCAUCAUUCUCCAUCUCCUCGUCAUCAUCCUCUCCUACUUUGCUUGUAACUUCAACUAAGUCGACUCGGUCCCCAUUCCACCGAUUUGACUCAGUAAAGUACAAAUUGUUCUCAUUUUCCUUUAAAUCGCGAUAAUAUCUCUGUCCUUUCUCUUUGUAUUCAGUUUUGUGGUCGUAAUUUUGGGUAAUGUAUGAGCUGAUACAGGAAGACUCAUGAUUGGAGUCGUUGGAUAAGGUGCCGUAGAUUCCACGGUCGGAUGUUGGCCGGCUCCGUCGCCGGAGAAUGUUUCUCCGAUAGGAAACCUCGGGCAAGGGUUCGAGGAGAGUGGAGUCGGAAGCGGAUUGAUCUGAAUCAUGAAACGGAAAAUCUUCGAAGACGUCGAAGAAGCAACCGUCCUUUUGAUCGGUUUGACUUGAUGGGUCAUGAUCGUUUUCAUCGGUUUGAUUAGAUUGCUCCAUUGAAUUAACAGAAUUCUGAGCUAGAAUUAUGGUUGGGUUUUCAUUCCCAAACGGGGGAGGAUUU
rnacentral:misc_RNA from 1 species